rnacentral:tRNA from 1 species
GGCCCGGUAGCUCAGUUGGAUAGAGCAAUAGCUUCCGGAGCUAAAGGUCGGGGGUUCAAAUCCUCUCCGGGUCGCCA